GGUACAGUGUGUAAUUAAAACUAGAGUAAACUGUUGGAAUGGUUGUUUACUUACAUAUUAUCACAACUAGCAUAUCAUAAGCAAAUUAGAUAUGCCCAACACUCCAUUUAAUGUUUUGCCAGAUUGUUAUCAGAAAUCUACAGAAACCAAAAUUUCUGUAGUGAGUUUAUACAGGCAAGUCCUAGACCAGGUAAAAAGUUAUAUUAGUAUUGAUAUCCAUGUGAUUUGUGAUUAUACUUUUUGAUUUUUUUUUUCUGAACCCUGCUUUUGAAAUAUUCUUGUAACUUGAAUUCAUGUGGCCAGGACAUUAGAGUAUUUAAUAUGCCCCAGGUUGAUUCCUCUAAGAUAAACAGUGUGGGAAUUGCUCCUAUGCCAUGAGUAUUAAAGGCCCACAUUAGUUUUCAUUUCUCUGAUUAUCAGAUACAUUGAUAUCAAUCCCUGUUAAAAUUAGUGAGGGAAAUAUUAACUUUAUCUACAGUGUAUUACUGUAUAUUAAACUGAAAUAGUCCAUUCAAGGAUUCUUUUACAAGUUUAUUUUGGACUAAAGAUAUUAACACGGUUAAGUUUUUAGACUGCUGUGUGAUUUUCCCAGUAGAAAGACUGCAUCACAGUGAGGUGUCUUCCACAGUGAAGUUAAAUGAGGAGUGCUCUGUGUGAAGGUAGCAUUUGUGGCGGGUUCUGGUUUCCUUACACCUUGUGCAGUUCCCUUUGUUUCUGUGCUGGUCUCUCCUGAGCAUGAAAACUGAUCAUUAUCCAGUUUGUAUUUCCUUGGUACAUAUUUUAAAAACAACACAGUCAUUGACUUUACAAUUCAGUGAUAAAGUUUGGCAAAGCCUAUUUUGUAAACAAGUUAAUUUUAUAAUGUAAAAAAAAGUUAAUCUAACCUUGACUUGUUAUUUGCACUUUCAUAGUCUAUACUUGAUACAUUCCCACUUUAUAUAUAGUAGGAUUCUACAAACGUGUAGAUGUUUGGCCAAAUGAAUGCUGUUAAUAAUAUGUAAAGUUCUUUGAUUAAACAUUUAUUACUUAAACUACUUCCAUCUUGUCUCAUAGACUUUGUUUUAAGGAAGUCAGGAAGCUAAAUUUUCUUCAGAUUAAAUCCCCUCCGAUGUGUUGGAAUUAAUUUGGUUCUAACAAAAUUGAUCAGUGCCUAGUAUCUUUUAUAGUAGCCCUGUUACUCAGCAUUUUAUACCCUAAAGAUAAAUCCGGUAAUACUGCAUGACAGUGUGUUAAAACACUAUUUCAGUGCUCAUUUUAUUUUCAUCACUAUAGCUAUGUUAUGAUUUUUUUCCCUUGA
rnacentral:lncRNA from 1 species